GAUUAACCACUCCGGUGGCUUAGUGAUUAAAGUUUCAGCCUCGGAUGCAGGAGGUCGUGGGUUCAAUCCCAGGGCGAGUCA